UCUCUCUCUCUCUCUCUCUCUCUCUCUAUGUGUGUGUGUGUGUGUGUGUGUGAGAGAGAGAGAGAGAGAGAGAGAGAGA